rnacentral:rRNA from 1 species
AUACGUAGGGUGCGAGCGUUAAUCGGAAUUACUGGGCGUAAAGCGUGCGCAGGCGGUGAUGUAAGACAGUUGUGAAAUCCCCGGGCUCAACCUGGGAAUUGCAUCUGUGACUGCAUCGCUAGAGUACGGUAGAGGGGGAUGGAAUUUCGCGUGUAGCAGUGAAAUGCGUAGAUAUGCGGAGGAACACCGAUGGCGAAGGCAAUCCCCUGGACCUGUACUGACGCUCAUGCACGAAAGCGUGGGGAGCAAACAGGAUUAGAUACCCUGGUAGUCCACGCCCUAAACGAUGUCAACUGGUUGUUGGGUGCAUUAGUACUCAGUAACGAAGCUAACGCGUGAAGUUGACCGCCUGGGGAGUACGGCCGCAAGGUUGAAACUCAAAUGAAUUGACGGGG